rnacentral:lncRNA from 1 species
GGAAAAGGCAAGGACUUUGAAAUCAGACCUGGGGCUUUCCUCCUACUUGGAUAAGCAAUUUGGUUCUCUGAGCCUCGGUUUCUACACCUGUGAAAUGGGAGUUCAUAAUACUUGCCUCAAAAAAAAAUUUUGCACAAAUUAAAUAUACAAAAAGCCUACAGCACAAUACCCAACCUGGAGUAUUUCAUGCUGCUCAGUAAGUAUUUGUCCAUCUGUUUCCUUAUGGGCUACACUGCACAAAUUGGCUAUGUAAUUUGGCACUUGUUUAUGCACCUGCUCAUGCUGUUACCAGCUUCUUUAUUGUUCUUUACUGUGUGUGAUUGUUAUUCCUCCUCUCCAGACUACAUUGUAAUCUCUUCCAAUUCAAGGACUCUAUCUCCUUUGUCCUUUGUACCCAUAGUUCAAUGAAUGGUUUUUGAAGUUAGAGUAGCACUUGUUUGAGAAAAGAUAAAAUACAUUCCUGAACUAC